rnacentral:rRNA from 1 species
CCUACGGGCGGCUGCAGUGGGGAAUAUUGGACAAUGGGCGAAAGCCUGAUCCAGCCAUGCCGCGUGUGUGAAGAAGGCCUUCGGGUUGUAAAGCACUUUCAGUGGGGAAGAAAGCCUUGGGGCUAAUACCCUCGAGGUAGGACAUCACCCACAGAAGAAGCACCGGCUAACUCCGUGCCAGCAGCCGCGGUAAUACGGAGGGUGCGAGCGUUAAUCGGAAUUACUGGGCGUAAAGCGCGCGUAGGCGGUCUGAUAAGCCGGUUGUGAAAGCCCCGGGCUCAACCUGGGAACGGCAUCCGGAACUGUCAGGCUAGAGUGCAGGAGAGGAAGGUAGAAUUCCCGGUGUAGCGGUGAAAUGCGUAGAGAUCGGGAGGAAUACCAGUGGCGAAGGCGGCCUUCUGGACUGACACUGACGCUGAGGUGCGAAAGCGUGGGUAGCAAACAGGAUUAGAUACCCGAGUAGUC